CUUUUGUCUUUUUGUUGUUGUUAUUGUUGCUAUCUCUUGGUUCUUGGGCCGCUCCCGCGGCAUAUGGAGGUUCCCAGGCUAGGGGUUGAAUUGGAGCUGUAGCCACCGGCCUACGCCAGAGCCACAGCAACGCGGGAUCUGAACCGAAUCUGCAACCUACACCACAGCGCACGGCAACGCUGGAUCGUUAACCCACUGAGCAAGGGCAGGGACCGAACCCGCAACCUCAUGGUUCCUAGUCGGAUUCGUUAACCACUGCGCCACGACGGGAACUCCUGCUGCAGCUGUUUUUAUUAUAAAAGAUGCUAAAUUUCUGGAAGGCAGGGCCGUGCUCAUCUUUGUGUCUCAGGUGACCGUGGAGAGGGUGUGCGCAAGGGUGAACUUGAGUGACAGCAGCCAAAAGUGGACUGAGUUCCCUGGCCACCCAGAAGUCGGCUCCUGUUCUGGGAUUUCCUCCUCACGUUGUCCAGAAGGCGCUUAGCACGUAGUAUGUGCUCCUAAAAUUUCCUCAUCAAUUGCGAAAAUACAAGCCACUUGUCUUAGUCUGUUUGAGGCGCGAUAAGAAAAUACCGCAGACUGGGUGGCUUACAACCAAAGGAAAUGCCUUCCUCACUGUCCUGGAGCCCAGAAACCGAGCCCAGGGUCCCAGCACCGCUGAGUGAGGGCCCCUCUGGGUUGGCAGACGCUUCCUGUGUCCCCACGUGGUGGAAGGGCCAGGGACUUCUUUGCAAGGGCGCGGGUCCCACUGAAGAGGCCCCUCCCUCACAGUGUAUUCAAGACCCCUUCCGGCUCCCACCCCAGGGUUGGGAGCUCACCCCAAGAAUUUGAGGAACACAGACGUUCAGACCACAGCGCCACCUUUCAAAACAGACCCGAGGGCGCGAAGGAGCAGAGACCCGCGGAGCAGCCUCGGCCUCAGGAGUGGCCGCGGGGCGGGGGGCUGCCCUGGUGUCUGUGCGUCCUUCCCGCGUCCUUCUCACUCCUGUUUCCGAGGCGCAGCAACUCCAGGGUCUGAAUCGUGCUAGCAGUUGCUCAAUGAUGCCACAGCAUAUGCAGGGGAUUCUGGCAGGAACCGGGAUUGCAGAAGCAAAAGCCCCCCACCAAAGGUUUACGGCUUCUUGUCUGUCACCAGCUGAUUGUAAAGCUGAACCUAAAUAUGUCAUUCGUUCCAUGCAAACUCUCCAGCUGCAAACUCUAACUGUGAGCGUCAGGGCCCUCGGAGCUCCCUCCUCGUAGACAGAGGAGAGGCUCUGACCCCGAGGCCUGGGAGGGGCUCCCGGGCUCCUGGUCCCCCGGUCCCGGGGCUCACAGCCAUCCCGCGGGGCAGGAGGGUGCAGGCCCAGAGAGGAGAGCCCUGGUGUAAGUCCAUCCUGCCCUCCAGCCCGCGGCUUCCCAGGGGCAGAAGGCCUUCCAGGGGCACCCUCCUCGGAUCCUCAACACGAUCCUGAGAAGAGGGCGAAGGGAUGGCAUGAGCUCCGUUUUCAGAGGGAAACUCAUUUUCAGAACUGCAACUCGCUGGAGGCCACAGAGCCAGCCGUGGGCUCCAGGGUCCCGCCUGGAGUUCAGAGAAGCCCAGGCUUCGACUCCCUCCAAGACUAUGUGAGUCGCCCCUGGAGGGGCGCCUACUGCACCCCAAUGCCACGCACGCACUCAGGAGCUGGACCAGCCAGAGGGGAAACCGGCUCCCUGUGUUCGGGGGAGAGGACGUAGGUGCGAUGGGGUUUGCAGAGCUGAUCCAGGUCUUACCCUGGCCCCCCUGGCCCCGGCAUUCCCUUCAUUUAAGCAUUAUUUAAAGAAUUUCUAUUUAUAAAGAGCACAUAAUCCUGAGAUAUGUGAUACUUUAUGUCGCUAUUGAUUCAAAAACCAUUUGUUUUUCACACAGUGGGGAGGGUGGCAGGGUUGGUAUGGGUCCGAUUUAGGGAGAGUUACAGACGUAAGAGCAUGUUUUUAUCCAGAUUUACUGAAGCGCAGCAUCUCGGCACAGUGACUACCUCGCGGCUCUGGGGCGCGCUCUGCUCUCCACGUGGCCGACUGAGGCUGCUGCAGGAGGUCCCCCUGGAUGGCAGGACAGAGGGGUGGCCUGGGAGCCCCUGGCCCUUGACAAAAGCACCAGGGAGAGCAGCCCGAGACGAGCUCGGCUCAGCCCAGGGUGGCAGGAAUCAGGACAGACAAGGAGAUGAGACGAGGCGCCAUGAGAUGCAAACACAUCGUGGUGUCCCCACAGGAGGAGAUGGGCACGGGUGUCAGGUCACCAAUUAGGAGCCAACUCUACGGUGGGGGCAGGAGGCUGUCAGGAGGACGCACGGCUGAGCUUUCGCGGUUCUUGGGGUCCCAAGAUACCAACCAGAGGAGCUUCCUGGGGGAGGAGACAGUAGGGACGAGAGGGCAGAGGGAAGAGAGGAGGGCAGGUCCGCAGGUUCUGAGGAUGCAGGAAGCCUCCCCCGCCCUCCAUGGGCCAGAGGGUCAGGCUCGGGCUUUAGACCAGCGGCCCCGAGAACAGAGUGCAGGGGGAGGGGUCGUGA
rnacentral:lncRNA from 1 species